UCUUGUCUGCAGACACCUGUCUCUGUAUUAAACAAAAGUAAAACGAGAUUGGAAAAAGUGAUCAUAAUUACCUCUGUGAUUAAGGUGAAGGGAGUAGCAGCAAAAAGGGAAGUAG
rnacentral:lncRNA from 1 species